CGAGAUUCCCCCAGUAGCGGCGAGCGAACGGGGAGCAGCCCAGAGCCUGAAUCAGUGUGUGUGUUAGUGGAAGCGUCUGGAAAGGCGCGCGAUACAGGGUGACAGCCCCGUACACAAAAAUGCACAUACUGUGAGCUCGAUGAGUAGGGCGGGACACGUGGUAUCCUGUCUGAAUAUGGGGGGACCAUCCUCCAAGGCUAAAUACUCCUGACUGACCGAUAGUGAACCAGUACCGGGAGGGAAAGGCGAAAAGAA
rnacentral:rRNA from 1 species